CGCCUGUAGUCUCAGCUACUUGAGAGGCUGAGGCAGGAGAAUUGCUCGAAGCUGGGAGGUGGAGGUUGCAGUGAGCCGAGAUCAUGCCUCCAGCCUGGGUGACAGAGUGAGACCCUAAAAAUAAAAAAUUAAAAAAACCCAAAGACGUUACCCUUGUUGGGACCUCCUCAAAGUGUGUGCCUGGGAUAUGAAGAUAAAAAUAAGACCCAGAGACUUGGGGUGAAGAACCAGACCUGGCCACAUGUCCAUUCCCUCCUUGAGUUAAGGAGGGAGAAGAGCUGGCCACACUUGGAGUUCCCGAGAGUUCCCCUUCAGGUGCCUUUCCCACCCUCCCACCUCGAUAUCUUUCCUCCUGGGCUUGCCCUUGGCCCCUGAAAUUCUAUCAUCAAAGCUUUGUUGCAGGCCAGGUGCGGUGGUUCACGCCUAUAGUCUCAGGACUUUGGGAGGCCAAGGUGGGUGGAUCACCUGAGGUCAGAAGUUCGAGACCAGCCUAGCCAACAUGGUGAAAACCCAUCUCUACUACAAAUACAGAAGUUAUCUGGGCAUGGUGGCACACGCCUGUAAUCCCAGCUACUUGGGAGGCUGAGGCAGGAGAAUCGCUUGAACCCGGGAGGUGGAGGUUGUAGUGAACGGAGAUCGCGCCACUGUACUCCAGCCUGGGCAACAAAGCAAGACUCCGUCUCAAAAAAAAAAAAACAAAACCUUUAUUGCUUUGUGUCAAAAGACCCAAAACAGGCCAGCUGAGGUGGCUCACACCUGUAAUCCCCGUGCUUUGGGAGGCUGAGGUGGAAGGACCACUCGAGCCAAGGAGUUCAAGACCAGCCUGGGCAACAUAGAGAGACCUCGUCUCAGUAAAAAAUUUGAAAAUUACGGCUUGGCGCGGUGGCUCACGCCUGUAAUCCCAGCACUUUGGGAGGCCGAGGCGGGUAGAUCACGAGGUCAGGAGAUCGAGACCAUCCUGGCUAACAUCCUCACUGGGAGACAGCGAGACUCCAUCUCAAAAAAAAAA
rnacentral:lncRNA from 1 species